rnacentral:rRNA from 1 species
GGCUAAUGCCGAAUGUGACCACGACCAGUAUCAUCUGGUUGCGGUAAAAGCAGGGGACCGCAAGGCCUUGCACUUGGAAAUGAGUCCGCGUCUGAUUAGCUAGUUGGCGGGGUAAUGGCCCACCAAGGCGACGAUCAGUAGCCGGCCUGAGAGGGUGAACGGCCACACUGGGACUGAGACACGGCCCAGACUCCUACGGGAGGCAGCAGUAGGGAAUUUUCCACAAUGGGCGAAAGCCUGAUGGAGCAACGCCGCGUGAGGGAUGAAGGUCUUCGGAUUGUAAACCUCUUUGGAGUGGGAAGAAUGAUUUUCGCAUUAAUAAUGCGGGGAAAUGACGGUACCACUAGAACAAGACACGGCUAACUCUGUGCCAGCAGCCGCGGUAAUACAGAGGUGUCAAACGUUGUCCGGAAUUACUGGGCGUAAAGGGCGCGUAGGCGGCCUUAUAAGUCAGAUGUGAAAGCUCCGGGCUCAACCCGGGAAUUGCAUCUGAUACUGUAAGGCUUGAGUUCGGUAGAGGAGGGCGGAAUUCCAGGUGUAGCGGUGAAAUGCGUAGAUAUCUGGAGGAACACCCGUGGCGAAGGCGGCUCUCUGGUCCGAAACUGACGCUGAGGUGCGAAAGCUAGGGUAGCAAACAGGAUUAGAUACCCUGGUAGUCCUAGCUGUAAACGAUGAGUACUAGGUGUUGGAGGUAUUGACCCCUUCAGUGCCGAAGCUAACGCAUUAA